rnacentral:rRNA from 1 species
AACGAACGCUGGCGGCAUGCCUAACACAUGCAAGUCGAACGUGAUCCGGGACUUCGGUUUCGGUGAAAGUGGCGGACGGGUGAGUAACGCGUGGGAACCUGCCCAGUGGUAGGGGAUAACCGCGGGAAACUGCGGCUAAUACCCUAUGUGCCCUGCGGGGCAAAGAUUCAUCGCCAUUGGAGGGGCCCGCGUCGGAUUAGGUAGUUGGUGGGGUAACGGCCUACCAAGCCUUCGAUCCGUAGCUGGUCUGAGAGGAUGAUCAGCCACACUGGGACUGAGACACGGCCCAGACUCCUACGGGAGGC